rnacentral:lncRNA from 1 species
CUGAUUCAUAUCAUGUUCCUUGUUUCAAAUGGUUCCAGAUAGGCCUAGAAUGAAAGCUCUACUGGGGGAGUGCAGAGGACCGUUCCUUGAGACUGAUGCGUGCCAGGUUAUCAUUUGGCCUAGAAUACCUAAGAUCAGGCUUGAUUAUUUGAAUCUUCAAGGCGUUGCGAGAAAUGUGCAUGAUUUAAUGGAAUCCUACCUGAAAAUUCAGUGAGUUCUUCGCAUUGCGGUGCCGAUCCAUACACGCCGGGCAGGCUGCUUACCGAGAGCUGCGCAUGUCCCGACUGGUGGUCUGUGUUUUGCCCGUGUUCCCUGUGAUGGCGCUUGCAGUUCCAAAAGGAAAACAAGUGAAAGGAACUUCAGCUAAGAAAUUCUUGCAUAUUUCUUUUUUGCAAGUACAUCUUUCUGUAACACUGCUACUAUGACACAGCUUGGGGACAAAAAGUGUUUUUGCUCUGUCUAAUGUAAGUUUGUACAACUUCACCAUUUAUAAGAUGGUAAUGAUUUAAGCUUUUUUCUGUAAUAUUCACUAGGAAGACAAUGCUACCCUUUGGGUUGUGAGGUUAUAAACCAAAGAUCUCAAGUUGUGCUGAAAAUAACUAAACUUUGUCUGAAGAGGCUAAGCAGGAAAUCCUUGCAGCUAUUGUUUAUAGGUAGCCACAAAAUAAUAUUUGCUGGUGGGGAAAAAAGAAUAAUUUCUGUACUUGAAAAUAUAGAACUGUGCGUGUGGAUAGUUUUGCUAAAAUAUUUCUAAUAAAAUUUGCAGAAAAAUAAUUUGUUAAUUUGAC